rnacentral:rRNA from 1 species
UUGGGGGAUGAUUAAUAGUAAAUAAAUAAUAAAAAAAAUUUUUAUAUUAAAAAUAUAUUUAAUGGGGGUUAAAGUAUAUUAAGAGAAAAAAUUUUUAAAUUUAUAGGGUAUUAGUAUUGUUGGGGAAUUUUGAAAUAUUUGAAAUAUUUAAUUAUUUUAAAAGUAAUUGUUAUUUAAUGUAUCUUGGGUAUCAGAGUUUAUUAAUAAUAUUUUUUGGGUAAAUAUUUCUCGAAUUUAAAAGAGAGAAUUAAUUAAUAAAGUUAUUGUUGAAAAAAUAUUUUUAAUAAUUAGUUUGAAAUGAAAUGUUAAUCGUUUUUAAAUAUAUCUAGUUUUUUUAGAAAAAAAUUUAAUUUUAAAUUUUUAAGGGGGAUUUAAAUUAUUUGUGAUUUAAUUUUUAAUAAAAAUUUUAUAUUUUAGGGGAUAAGCUUUAAAUUAGAUUUAUAUAAAUUUAAAAUAAUUAAAAUUAAAAUUUUUAUAAUUUUUAUUGUUAAUAAAUUUUAGUUUAUUAUAAAUUAAUUUUAUUAAAUUAAAAAAUUUAAUUUAUUAAAUUUUAUUUAUUUAUAAAAAAAUAUAUUUUAAUUUAAAAAAUUUAGAUAUAAUGAUAAAAUUAGUAUAUAAGUUUAAUUAGUAAAAUAUAAUUAAAAUGAUAAUUAAUUUUAAGGAAUUCGGCAAAUUUUUAUAUUCACUUGUUUAUCAAAAACAUGUCUUUUCGAUAAAUAAUUUAAAGUCUAAUCUGCCCCCUGAUUUUUAAUUAAAGGGCUGCAGUAUUUUGACUGUACAAAGGUAGCAUAAUCAAUAGUCAUUUAAUUGAUGACUUGAAUGAAGGAUUGGAUGAGAUAUAAGCUGUCUUGGUAUUUAAACAAUUAAAAUUUAAUUUUUUCAUUAAAAAGUUAAGAUAUUUUAAAAAGACGAGAAGACCCUAUAGAGUUUUAUAUUUUUUAGGGUUAGAAUUAUUUUUAAAAUUAAUAUUUAAAUUUAAAUUAAGUAUUUGGUUGGGGUGAUUAGGAAAUAUGAAGAACUUUUUUAUUAUUUAAACAUAAAUUAUUGGUUAAAUGAUCCAAUUCUAUUGAUUAUAAGAUAAAAUUACCUUAGGGAUAACAGCGUAAUUUUUUUUUUUAGUUCGUAUAAAAAAAAAAGUUUGCGACCUCGAUGUUGGAUUAAGAUAAAAUUUAAGUGUAGAAGUUUAAAGUUUUGAUCUGUUCGAUCAUUAAAAUCUUACAUGAUCUGAGUUCAAACCGGCGUGAGCCAGGUUGGUUUCUAUCUUUUAUUUUGGGGGUAUAUUUUAGUACGAAAGGAAUAAAUAUUAAAAUUAAAUUUAAAUUAAGAAUUUUAUUAAUUUAUUUAUAAACAAUACAAAUAUUUAUUUUAAUGUGAUAAUAUAUAUAUAUAUAUAUAUAUAUAUCUAAAUUUUAAUGUGUGUUGUUCGAUUAAAAUUUAAUUUGUAAAU